AUUCAUCUUUUACCACACUGCAAGGGACAGAGGCAAUUUUUCUCCCAGGAUUCAGGACUAAAGUAGAUGAUCUUCUGGACUUCUCUGUGACAUUUCACUGAAAUUGCAUUUCACCGAAAACAAACAAGCAAACAAAAAUCUUCCUUUUGAGAAGAUAAUCCCCAGAAGUUAAAAGAAAGAGUAGUAGUCCAGUUGGAAGUUGCAAAAAAAUGUUCAACUUCUUUCUGAAGAUCCCCCUUUUAGUGGCUUUUCACUGAUGUCUGUGAGGGGUAAACUCUCUCAGUCAAGAAUGGAUCCAUUUUCAAGACUAUUUAUUCAUUCAUUCAUUCAUUCAUUCAUUCAGAGAUAGGGUCUCACUCUGUCGCCCAGGCUGUAGUACAGUGGCACAAUCAUGGCUAACUUCAGCCUCCACCUCCCUGGCUCAAGCAAUCCUCCCACCUUAGCCUCCUGAGUAGCUGGGACCACAGGCGCCUGCCACCAUGCCCGGCUAGUUUUUUACAUUUUUUGUAGAGACAAGGCCUCCCUGUGUUGCCCAGGCUGGUCUCAAACUCCUGCGCUCUAGCAGUCCUCCUUCCUUGGCCUCCCAAAGUGCUGGGAUUACAGGCGUGAACCACUGCACCUGGCCUGGGUACAUUUUUCUUGGGGCCUGAAACUGAUGCCAUUUUGGAUCCUCUUUAGGAAAAAUAAUACAAACUAUGAAUAUAAAAUUAAGAAUGAAAAUAUUGACAAUGAGAAAAAAAUCACUACAAAUUAUAAAGUUGGAAAUGCUGACAAAUAAAACAAACAUAAAAAAAUCCA